AGAUUGAACGCUGGCGGCAGGCCUAACACAUGCAAGUCGAGCGGCAGCACGGGUACUUGUACCUGGUGGCGAGCGGCGGACGGGUGAGUAAUGCCUAGGAAUCUGCCUGAUAGUGGGGGAUAACGUUCGGAAACGGACGCUAAUACCGCAUACGUCCUACGGGAGAAAGUGGGGAAUCUUCGGACCUCACGCUAUCAGAUGAGCCUAGGUCGGAUUAGCUAGUUGGUAGGGUAAAGGCCUACCAAGGCUACGAUCCGUAACUGGUCUGAGAGGAUGAUCAGUCACACUGGAACUGAGACACGGUCCAGACUCCGUACGGGAGGCAGCAGGUGGGAAUAGUUGGACAAGUGGGACGAAAGCCUGAUCCAGCCAUGCCGCGUGUGUAGAAGAAGGUCUUCGGAUUGUAAAGCUAACGUUUAAGGUGGAAGGAAGGCUAAGUUAGACCUUAAGUACGUUAGUGUUUUGACGUUACCGAUAAGAAUAA
rnacentral:rRNA from 1 species